UAUUAAAAUUUUCAUCCAUUUGUAUUGUUAAAAAAUAGCGUCGUUCAUAGAAUAAUCAAACAAUGACAUGUGAUGUGCUACAUGUACCUCAUGCUAACGUAUAAUAACCAAUUUUUAACAGUAGAAGUGGAUGAAAUUUUUAAUA
rfam:Gossypium hirsutum cultivar TM-1 unplaced genomic scaffold scaffold5033.1, whole genome shotgun sequence